GGCGGCGUGCUUAACACAUGCAAGUCGAACGGAAAGGCCUUUUCGGGUACUCGAGUGGCGAACGGUUGAGCAACACGUGGGUGAUCUGCCCUGCAAUUUGGGAUAAGCUUGGGAAAUUGGGUAUAAUACCGAAUAGGACCACGCGCUUCAUGGUGUGUGGUGGAAAGCUUUUGCGGUGUGGGAUGGGCCCGCGGCCUAUCAGCUUGUUGGUGGGGUAAUGGCUUACCAAGGCGACGACGGGUAGCCGGCCUGAGAGGGUGACCGGCCACACUGGGAUUGAGAUACGGCCCAGA
rnacentral:rRNA from 1 species